UGGCUCAGUUGGUAGAGUGCUUGCCUCUCAUGCACAAGGGCCUGGGUUCAAUCCCCAG
rnacentral:tRNA from 1 species